rnacentral:rRNA from 1 species
UACCCUUGACAUGGUCGGAACCCUGCUGAAAGGUGGGGGUGCUCGAAAGAGAACCGAUACACAGGUGCUGCAUGGCUGUCGUCAGCUCGUGUCGUGAGAUGUUGGGUUAAGUCCCGCAACGAGCGCAACCCUUGUCCUUAGUUGCUACGCAAGAGCACUCUAAGGAGACUGCCGGUGACAAACCGGAGGAAGGUGGGGAUGACGUCAAGUCCUCAUGGCCCUUAUGGGUAGGGCUUCACACGUCAUACAAUGGUCGGAACAGAGGGCUACCAACCCGUGAGGGGGAGCUAAUCCCAGAAAACCGAUCGUAGUCCGGAUCGUAGUCUGCAACUCGACUACGUGAAGCUGGAAUCGCUAGUAAUCGCGGAUCAGCAUGCCGCGGUGAAUACGUUCCC